AUUACUCAAAGCAUAAAGAUUACCCAAGAUGUCGGUGUACGGAGGCAUAGUCUUGAAGAUAUAAACAUUUAUGGCACAAUACUGUCCAUAAAUAAGACAAGAAUAACUACCUCACAACCCUAAUCAACACAUAGUGUCUAAAGCAUAUAAUGCUAAUAGAUCCGCCGCGGUCGGACCAUCACUCUAUAGACACUAAGUAUGACUAAGAAUAUGAGGUAGUACUAAAAAGAGAACAGAAUCGAAUAUCCUAGUGCUCUGAAACCAACUGACAGGACCCAACCUGAAUUUCACCUUGAAACCCGAAGUAAAUCUUGCGGGGACCACCUCCAAGGAAAGUUUACCGAAAAUUCGGCAUAACCUCCCUUGAAAAUGGACAACCCUUCCUAAAAAAAAACCUACAUACACUUUUGAUAAACCAAAUCCAACCUUAAACUCCUGGAGCCUUUAUGCUCCCACAAAUCACAACAUCUCCCAAUUAUUUACUAACUUUAAUAAGAAUAAUCCCACAACCAACAAUCAUAGUUCAGAGCAAUUCUAAUUGAGAGGAAAUGAACUAGAAAUUUAGAAAUGAGCGGAAGCUAUACUAUUGACUAUGCCUCUUCUUCAUGUACGCUCGACCUCAACUAUGCUAACCUGCAAACUGGGCAUUUUUUUAAAACGAAGAGCCCAGGGGAAAACAUUUGAAACCGUUAGAUUGAGUGGACAAAACUAAAUUUAAAAAGAAAUAAAUCUUUAUGCUUUCCCGAUUUAACUUCUGUGGAAAUACAAUUAACGGCAUGCAAAAAGCUCAAAAGCUUUUAAAAAUUUACCGAAUUUACCGAAACGCGACUAGCCGCGCUAGUCACCAACACUUAAUAAAAAAAAUAGAGCCUUUCAGGCUAAAAUAUAUUAUGUAUGUAUUACACUCGUCAUAUCCCUUAUAUGAAUUUUCUUGAAGCAACAAAGACAAAUAGAAAUCCACACAAGCCUACGACGCUUGCGUCUAAUGCUCACGUCGCACCAUAAUGGAAUUUUACCUCAUUAUGGUGGAAAAGACGGUGUAUAAAUAUAUAUGCGCAUAUCCCCUAUAUAAAUUAUUAUAUUUAUACAGGGCUACGACGAUUGCGUCUAACGCUCACGUCGCACCAUAAUGGAAUUUUUCCUCAUCAUGGUGGAAAAACAUGUAUAGCUAGCUAGCAUUUCUUUAUAUACAUAUUAUUCUAAUAAUCAUCCAAAUAUGGAUACAUAUAUAUACUCACCAUUCUCAAUUUCGGUUCUUCUCUAACAACGUAAAUUAUUUCGCAUGCACAUUAUUGAAAACAAAAGUCCACUCACAACUUUAGGCCUAAGCUUGACGUCGAUCCGAGGUCUCUUCUGCUUGAGCCUCCUCACGUCAUUUUUCCAAAUGUAAAAUUAAUUUCCCAACUAAAAAUCCAAAUAUUUAUACAAAAUAGGCAAAAUUAAACGUGAGCCAUAACCAUGCUCAUCAUUGCCUAACUUCGAUAUUCCUAAAUCGAAACGAUCCAAACUUUAAUACCAUAAUCGGCAGCCAUAAACACAAUCUCCCACAGAUUUAACGACUUUAAUCCUACAGCUGGAUUCUACAUUAAUUACCCGCCAAAAAAUACCAAACUUCGUAAAUUCACAAACCUAACCAAAACUCUUCCAAAAAUUCCAUAAUUCACAUCAAUAAACUCCCCUUAAUAUUCCACAUUUAAAACCAUAAAAAUUUCCCACACAACGGCGACCGGAGGCCGACUCCGGCGACCUCCGAUGCCUAUGAAAUUUUGACAGCAUCUUCCUCUCAACCUACUCUACAACUUUUCUAACUAGCACAAACACUAAUUCCAAGCUUAACUAGGCCAAUCAAACGAAAAAACCCAAAUAAGCCCAAAAACUUCUACUCACCGGUUCUCCUUACCUAGACCAAGAGAGGAUGAGCCCUUUGGAGGGAUUGAUGCACGGGACGAGAGCUUCAUUUUGAGCCGAGAAGCUCCGGCUAUGGCGACCGGAGGAGUGAGUUCCGGCGAGAGAACCACCAAGGCAGUUGGACCUUUCGGCUGCAUUUUCUCUCCCACGGUGGCACUAGGGAGGCUGCCACUGGUCCAAGACGGAAGCUAGGUCGAGGGCCGACUAAUCGAGACCGGAGCGGCGUUCUCAGGCGGCCGGACGACGGUAAACGGCUGGAUAGAAAAUCCGGCAAGGAGAGAGGGAGGGAAUCGGGAGAGAGAGAGAGAGAGGAAAAAGAGGGAGAGAGUGUUGGGCUUUCUCCUCCCAACCGGUCCUAACCCACCAAAUAAACCCAACUCUAAUAAUUAACACCCCAAAAAUAAAACUUUGAUAAAAAUUACCUUUUACUAGCUAAAAUUUACUAUUUUUACCGACGUCACAAUUUCCUCCUACGAAUAUUUCCUCCGAAAUAAUCGUCCCUCAAAACCCCUCUAGGGACUAUUUAAACUAUAAACACAUUGACGAAGACGGUAAAACUCUUAUUAUACCAAGCUAGUAAAUAAGGUAAAAGUUUAAGAGUCGGGAUGUGACAGUAUGUAUAUAAAUGCUAGCUAGCCAUACGUGCUUGGUCCGUCAUAAUGAGGUAAAAUUCUAUUAUGGCGUGACGUGAGUGUUAGACACAAGCGUCAUAGCCCUAUAUGAAAACUACUUUCUUAUCUGGUUUAUAUAGGUUUUCAUAUAGGGAGUCCACACGUAUAUAUACACCCGUCCUCUUCGGUCAUAAUGAGGAAAAAUUCCAUUAUGGUGCGACGUGAGCGUUAGACGCAUGGAGUAUUUUUCUAAUUUGUUUCUACGAUUCAUACAAGGAGUUUGACGAGUGUAAAUACAUACGCAUAUAUGUUUAUAUAUAUAAUUUAGCCUGAGAGGUUCCAUUUUAUUGAGUUUUGGAGACUAGCUGGAGCUAGUCAUGUUUUGGCCAGUGUGUGAGUAGAAAGCUUUGAGCUGUCGCAUGCAACAUAAUUUCUAUGGAAAUUAAAUUGGGAAAGCAUAAAGAAUUAUUUCUUUUAAAUUUAUUUUUGUCCACUCAAUCUAACAUUUUUCAAUUGCUUCUCCCCUGGGCCCUUCGUUUUAAAAUGCCUAGUUUGCAGGUUAGUUUAGUCGAGGUCGGGCGUACUUGGAGUCGAGGCAUAGUUCGUAUUACAGCUUCCGCUUAUUUGUUUAUUUUGUUUCUUUAUUCCUUUUAGAGUUGCUCUGAACCAAUGAAUUGUUUGUUGUGGGAUUAUAUUUAGAUUAGUGAAUAAAUUGAGAGAUGUUGUGAUUUGGGGAGCACGAAGGUUCCAGGAGUUUAAGUUUUGAUUUGGAUUUUUAGAAGUGUUUGCAUGUGCUUUUAGGAAGGGUUGUCCAUUUUAAAGGGAGGUUAUGCUGAAAUUUUCGGUAAAUUUUCCUUGGAGGUGGACCCCGCAAGAUGUACCUCGGGUUUCAAGGUGAAAUUCGGGGUGGGUCUUGACACUACAAGUCUUUACUCCAAGAGUACAUAGAUGUUUUCGCUUGGGGUUACCAAGAUAUGCCUGGCUUGGACCCUAAUGUAGCAGUUCAUAAGCUAGCAGUCUCAGAAGAAAGAUGGUGGGUGAAACAAGCUCCUCGACGCUUCUGCUCAGAGCUCGCUGUUCAAAUUGAAUCCGAGGUUGACAAACUCUUCGAUGUUGGUUUCAUUCGAGAAGUUAAAUACCCCACAUGGUUGGCUAGUAUCGUAUCUGUAAAAAGAAGAACGGACAAAUUCGCAUUUGCAUCGACUAUAGGAAUCUCAAUGAUGCUUGUCCAAAAGAUGAGUUCCCACUUCCAAUCACAGAGUUAUUGGUCGACGCUACAACAUGAUAUAGUGCUUUGUCAUUCAUGGAUGCGUUCUCAAGAUACAACCAAAUCAAGAUGACACUCGAGGAUGAGGAACUCACAGCCUUUCGUACACCAAAAGAGGUAUACUACUACACAGUGAUGCCAUUUGGCUUGAAAAAUGCAGGUGCAACUUAUCAAAGAGCAAUGACACACAUCUUCGCCGACAUGUUACAUAACACCGUUGAAUGUUAUGUUGACGAUUUGGUGGUCAAAACAAGAAAAAGGCAACACCACCUAGCUGAUUUGAGAAGGGUUUUUGACAGGCUUCGAAAAUACCAAUUGAAGAUGAACCCGUUGAAAUGUGCCUUUGGGGUGAUGUCUGGAAAAUUCCUUGGCUUUGUUGUCAGAUACCGAGGAAUCAAGGUCGACCCUACCAAAAUCACGACGAUUAGAGAAAUGCCUCCCCCUAGGGAUCUGCGGUAACUAAGAGGUUUGCAAGGAAGAUUAGCAUACAUAAGAAGGUUCAUUUCAAACCUUUCUGGAAGAUGUCAACCUUUCACGAGACUAAUGAAGAAAGACGUUCCUUUUAAAUGGGAUCAAGCUUGCCAAAAUGCUUUUUACAACAUCAAAGAAUAUUUGCUCAAACCCCUAGUAUUAAUGGCACCCAUCAAAGGAAGACCUUUAAUCCUCUAUACUGCAGCACUUGAAAGAUCUCUGGGGGCAAUGUUGGCGCAAAAUAAUAUGAGGGGAAAGAAAAUGCUUUGUAUUAUCUAAGCAGGACACUUGUGGGGGCAGAGCACAAUUAUACCCCCAUCGAAAAAGUUUACCUAGCCUUGGUAUUCGCUACUCAAAAGCUGCGACACUAUAUGCUUGCUCAUAGCAUCACAUUGAUCUCCAAAGCAGAUCCGCUCAGAUACUUGAUGUCAAAACCGGUAUUGUCUAGACGUCUAGCGAAAUGGUCAUUGCUUUUCUCAGAGUUUGACAUUAAAUUUGUCUCAAAAAGCCAUUAAAGGACUCGGACUCGCUGAUUUCCUAGCAGCACAUCCGGUACCUGAUCAUAUAGAACUUCCAGAAGACCUACCAGACAAAGAAGUCUUCUCUACAGAGGUAGCCAUGUGGCAACUUUACUUUGAUGGAGAACCUAGAACAAGAGGAGCAGGAGCGGGGGUUAUAUUGUCAAGACCCACCCCAAAUUUUACCCUAAAACCUGAAGUAAGUCCUGCAGGGACCACCUCCAAGGAAAAUUUAACAAAAAAUUUAACGAAAAAUUCGGCAUAACCUCCCUUGAAAAUGGACAACCCUAUCUUGAAAAAUUCAGAUAACACUCCUAUACCAACACAUCCAACCUCAACACCUAAAGCCACCCGCUCCCCCACAACACAUCCACCACACACAAAAAUAAUAACAGUUCUAAUCCAACACAUAAAUAUCCAAUUUAUAUCAUACACCAUCCUUUGAAUAUCUCCCAAAUUAAUAAACAAACACUUAGCACACAACCGAACUAUUAUACAAAUAAUCCCUAGGUAAUCAGAGCUACUAAACACUAGCGGAAGUAAGAAAAUAUGGUAGUAGGUUAACAUGUAACCUACUGAUGAAAGGUGGAAGAGAUGUGGGUAUGCCUCGCCUCUGACUAGUGUCAACCCGAACUCUGCAGACUGGGCAUUUUAAAACGAAGGGCCAAAGGGAAAACAUUUUAAAAACGUUAGAGUGAGUGGACAAAAAUAAAUUUAUAGAAUAUUUAUGCUUCCCAAUUUAAAUUUCCAUAGAAAAAUAUGUUGCAUGCGACAGCUCAAAAAUUGGCAAUUACAUGACUAGCUCCGGCUAGUUUCCAAAACUCAAACAAAUGAAGCCUCUCAGGCUAACUAUAUAUAUAUAUAUAUAUAUAUAUGUAUGUAUUUACACUCGUCAUACUCCUUGUAUGAUUUCUUAUGAAGAAAUAUAAGAAAAAUAGAAAUUUAUACAAGGCUACUACGCUUGCGUCUAACUCUCACGUCACGCCAUAAUGAAAUUUUACCUCAUUAUGCGGAAAAGCACGAGUGUAUAUAUAUACGUGCAUAUUCCCUAUAUAAAUUACUAAAUUUAUAUAGGGCUACGACGAUUGCGUCUAACGCUCACGUCACACCAUAAUGGUAUUUUACCUCAUUAUGGCGGAAAAGCACGUAUAGCUAGCUAGCAUUUAUUUAUAUACAUACUAUCCUCAUAAUCAUCCAUAUAUGAAUAUAUAAUCACCGAAAUUCUCAAUUCCGGUUAGUCUCCAACAAAAGAAAUUAUUCAUCAAUAAACCAUUUGCAUGCACACUAUUUAAAACAAAAGUCCACUCACAAAUUAGGCCUAAGCCUGAUUUCAAUCCGAGGCCUCUUCUGCUCGAGCCUCCUCACGCCCUGUUCCAAAUAUAAUAUUAAUUCCCAACCAAAUAUCCAAAACUUACACAUAAUAGGCAUAAUUCUAUGUGAGCCUUAAUCACACUCACACUUGCCCAACUUCACCAUUCUUAACUCAAUAGGGUCCAAACUUCACCGAACCUACUCGCAACUUUACUUCAACUUUCUAUCGAUUAAACGACUUUAAUCCCACGGCUGGAUUCUCCUUAAAUAACCGCCAAAAUUACUAAGCUUUAAAAAAUUCCCAAACCUAUCCAAAACUCAUCCAAAAAUUCUAAAAUUCACAUCAAUAACUCCCAUUAAUAUAACCAAUCAAAAACCAUGAAAAUCCCUUAAACAGCGGCAGGGGCGGCCGGAGGCCGACUCCGGCGACCUCCAAUGCCUACCAAAUUUUAACAGCAAUUUCCUCUCAACUCACUCUACAACUUCUUUAACUAGCACACACCCAAUUCUAAGCCUAACUAGGUCGAUCGAACGAAGACAUUCUAGAAAACCCUAGAGCUUCAACACCAAAUAUCUCCUUACCUAGCUCAAGAGGGAGAGACACCUUUGGAGGGAUGAAUGCACAGGAGGAGGGCUUCCUUUUUGAGCCUAGCAGCUCCGGCUAUGGCGGCCGGAGGAGUGAGUUCUGGCAAGAGCACAGUUGGCUCCUCGGAGGAGUUUCCUCCCGUUCAGCGGUGCUAUGGGCUUGCUCACCAGCCUAGGGAGAGAGGGGAGGAGAGAGGGUUUCGAUCGGGACCGGAGCGGUGGUCUGGGACGGAUCGGACGGCGGCAGGCAGGCGGCUGGAAGUUGGCCGGGGAGGGGGCUCGGGAGAGGGCUCGGGGAUGAGGGAAGAGAAAAGAGAGAAGAAGAAAAAGACUUUGGGCCUCCAACACCCGGUCCAACUCCUUAAUACCACUCUAAAACACUCCACUCCAUAACCUAAAACACCCCAAUAAAAAUACGCUAAUAAAAAAUUACCUUUUACUAGCUAAAAUUUACCAUUUUUACCAUCGUCAUAUUUUCUCCUACAAAUAAUUCUCCGAAAUAAUCGUCCCUUAAAAACCCUCUAGGGACCAAAUAAAUUAUAAUCUUAUUAACGAAGAUGGUAAAACUCUUAUUAAUACCAAGCUAGUAAAUAAGGUAAAAAUUUAAGGGUCGGGAUGUGACAAUUCUCCCCUCAUAAAAAUUUCGUCCUUGAAAUUUACAUUCUUGUCAAUCAAAGAGAUAGAGAUACUGCUGCCUCAUUUGCUCCUUUCGGUCGAGAAUCUGAACCAGUUCCUCUUCAUAGGUCAAAUCUUUCGUCAAACUGAUCGGCUGCUCUUGCAGCACAUGAGAGGGAUCAGCUAUACUUGCGAAGCAUGGAUACAUGAAACACAUUAUGUAUCCUGGAUAACUCUGGAGGCAAAACUAACCGAUAAGCAAGUGAGCCAAGUCGCUCUAUAAUCUUAUAAGGGCCAAUGUACCUCGGGCUAAGCUUCCCACGCUUACCGAAACGUACAACCCCUUUCCAAGGAGAUAGUUUCAAGAACACCCAAUCACCCACUUGAAACUCAAGGUCAUUCCUACGGACAUCUACAUAACUCUUCUGCCAACUUUGAGCGGCCUUGAGUCUAUCUCUGACCACUUUAACCUUCUCAUUUGUAUCAUGAAUCAACUCGGGACCGCAAAACUCUUUUUCUCCUACUUCAUUCCAACACAAAGGUGUACAACACUGCUUCCCAUAAAGUGCCUCAAAGGGAGCCAUACCAAUGCUAGAAUGAUAGCUAUUAUUAUAUGCAAAUUCCAUCAAAGAUAGGUUUUUAUCCCAACUCCCUCUAAACUGCAAGGAACAAGCUCUCAACAUAUCCUUCAAAGUCUGAAUAGUCCUCUCCGAUUGUCCAUCGGUCUGAGGAUGAAAAGCAGUGCUGAAGUGUAAUCGGGUGCCUAAAGCUGCUUGAAGAGCUCCCCAGAAUUUAGAAGAAAAUCUAGGAUCCUAAUCUGACACUAUUGAUUCAGGUACACCAUGAAGCCUCACAAUUUCAUUCACAUAAAGCUCCGCCAAUUUAUCCAAUUUAUACUUCUUUCCCACUAGCAAGAAAUGUGCAGACUUGGUGAGUCUAUCCACAAUCACCCAAAUAUCGUCAUGCCCUUCACGGGUACGAGGUAAACUGAAAACAAAAUCCAUGGUGAUGUGGUCCCACUUCCACAUUGGAAUAGAUAACGGCUCAAGCAACCCUGAAGGUUUCUGCCUUUCAGCUUUCACUUGCUGACAGAUUAAACAUCUACUCACAAAAGCUGCAAUUUCCCUCUUCAUAUUUGGCCACCAAUAAUAAUCUUUCAAAGUCCGAUACAUUUUUGUACUACUCGGAUGGGCAGCAUAUGCCGAACUAUGAGCUUCCUCCAUUAUCUCAUUCUUUAACUCUUAAUUCCUCUUUGGAACACAAAGCCUAUUCUUGAACAAUAAAGUUUCAUCUCUUCUAACUGAAAAAUCCACGGUGGUUCCACUCAAUGUUCUUUCUAUCAACCGAACUAUGGAAGGGUCAUUAUAUUGUGCCACCCGCACUAUAUCAACCAAAACUGGCCUCACAUAAAAACUAGCUAUCAAAGCACCAACUUCAUCCACCGAUAAAUCCACCCCUGUAGCUCGCAAUUCACAAAGAAGUGGAACUCGAACCGUCUUUAUAUGAGACAAAGAUAUGGAGGGAUUUCGACUAAGAGCAUCAGCUACCACAAUAGCUUUUCCAGGAUGAUACUCGAUAGUACAAUCAUAAUCAUUGAUCAACUCCAUUCACCUACUCUGUCUCAAGUUUAGCUCUCUUUGAGUGAAUACAUACCGAUGACUCUUGUGAUCAGUAAAAAUUUGACACUUGGCCCCAUAAAGGUAUUGUUUCUACAACUUGAGAGCAAAAAUUACCGCUGCAAGUUCUAGAUCAUGAGUGGGACAAUUCCCCUCAUGCGGCUUCAAUUGCCUAGAAACGUAGGCAAUAACUCGAUCAUGCUACAUUAAUACCCCACCUAGACCACGUCUAGAAGCAUCACAAUAAACCACGUACUCCCCAUUAGCAUCCGGAAGUGCUAAAACAGGAGCACUAGUCAAGCAAUUCUUCAAUUCUUGAAAACUUUGCUCACAUUUAUCUGACCAUUCAAACUUAACACCCUUCUUGGUCAAUCUUGUAAGAGGACCCGCAAUCUUUGAAAAAUCUUGCACAAAGCGCCGAUAAUAACCUGCUAAUCCCAAGAAAUUACGAAUCUCCGUCACAGUGGUGGGUCUUUUCCAAUAUGACACUGCUUUCACCUUUUGGGGAUCCACACUAACUCCUUCUGCCGAAACCAUAUGACCUAAGAACCCCACCUUAUCAAGCCAAAACUCACACUUGCUAAACUUAGCAUAUAACUGAGAAUUUUUCAAAGUCCGCAAUAUUAUUCUUAGAUGUUUGGCAUGCUCCUUCUCACUUCUUGAGUAAACCAAGAUGUCAUCUAUGAAUACGAUCACGAAACAAUCAAGAUAUGGACUAAACACCCUAUUCAGGAGGUCCAUGAACGCUGCGGGUGCAUUAGUAAGUCCAAACGGCAUCACCAUAAAUUCAUAAUGACCUUAACGUGAUCGAAAGCAGUCUUGGCUAUGUUACUCUCUCGGAUCCGUAACUGAUGAUAACCAGAUCUCAAGUCAAUCUUUGAGAAAAUAGAAGCACCUCUCAAUGAUAGGAGCAUAAAAUACGACAUUCUUAAUGUGUUAUUACCUCCAUUUGUACUUUGAUUAUCUCUUAUUGUCGUAGAAUAGAGUCAUAAUGUAGAGUCGAAAGUUUUUGGUAGAGUUGUGCGUAAAAUGUGUUAAACAUAGAGGAAUGAUGUAGAAAAUUGUCAAAAGCCGAUUUGUGGAGCCUUAGAGAUGUUCUUAUGAUUCUGUAAAGCUUUUACAUUGUCACAAAUUGAUUUAACUUCUCUGAUACUUAGGUGAUAUGUAAAAGAGUUAUGGCAAAAAGAAUCAGGAGAAUUGAAGUUAUGCUUGAAUCAUUGCCGAGAGAAGUGUUCCUGAUGGACCUAGGGAAGCAAAGCAGCUGAUCCACGAAGCCUAGUCCAUGAAGGAGAGGUCCAAACCAAGUCCAAUAUGGAGAAGAAGAUCUAAAUUCGGUAGAAUAUCAGGGAAUAUCCAAGUCUUGAAAAUCCGGAUUAAAUCGGGAGAAUUCCUGUGCACGUCUGUCAACUUCAACGGACUCUCCAGGACAGCUCACAAUGAAUCAGAAAACGUGCUAGAUAUGGAUAGAGAGCUACGGCAGUCUAGUUCCAAAUCAAUUGGAAUCACCUCAAUAUCUAUUUUCUAGAGGGAGUUAUGACGUAAUCAUCAGACGGAGGUCAUUCUGCCGAAUUGAGAAAACUAGGGAAACCUAAACCAACUUGGUUUCAACUUUGUGGCCGACUUCUCUAGGGUUUUUCCUCUAUAUAAAGCACGACUUCAAGAGCAGAAAAACAUCAUCUCUACUCUUGCAAUUACAUAGCCGAAACUCUACCAAACCCUAUACAGAAAUUACUUAGCCGAUUCAUCCACCACAAACCAUAAGAAUCAUUCCAUCAUUCCACCGAUUUUCCCCACACUUGCCGAAUCUUUCAAGGUUGUAAAAGUGUGAUUUUCUCAUGGCUUCUUGUAUUAUUUUCUGUAUAGUUUCGAACUCUAUUGUAAUAUACUUUUCGAUUUUGGUUUUAUUUAUCAAACAUGGUUUUCGGAUUUCUUUGUGAUCUUUGAUUGUUCUAUGUUUUGAUUUGUAACUUCUUGAAUAUAUGAUGAUUUCGUGAUUUAGGUUUUAGGGAAGUAGCAUGUUCUUAUGUGUUUUUGAUUUCUAAUUGAUUAAUUAUCAUGAAUUCGUGCAUCUAAAUCAAUCCUUGAGGCUGCCUUGGCCAUGGUUGUCCUUAAGGUGCGGUUUCAUCUACCAUAAUAAUUUUGGAUCAAUUCAUACGCAAAGUUGUCUUGGUCUCUGUUAUUAACUUAGGGCGGAUAUAAUUCUGAUAAUUUGCAUGCUAAUAGGAUGAGUGACGCCAUGCCUUAGAUCAUGUUUCCGAUUGACUCGUGUGCUAAAGUGUUUUCUUGUUUAAUCUCUACGCAACGUGUCUUUAAAUGAGUUAGCAUUCAUGUUUAGGAUCAAGCGCAAAGAUGGUUCUAAAUACUUGAGGAGUCUUAACAAUUAGAUAACCGCAAAGGCUCUAAUUAGAAUCGGAAUUGGUUAGAGUCUAGGAUAAUUUGAACGUUGCUGCCCGGCCUUGCAUGAAGUUGUUAUGUGUUCUUGAUGGUUUUUCGUGUUAUGUGUUGCAUGAGAAUGUUGAUCAUUUGUAUAUAAUAAUCUUAGGUUUAAUUUUCAGUAGGUUAUUUGUUAGAAUUAAUCAAUCUUAAACCCCCAAUAUUUCAAUAUAUAUGUGAAUACUUGUUUAUAAGUUGUUUGAUUUCUCUUCUUUCGAUCGCCCUUUGGUUUCCCCGGCUAGAACGAUCCCUACUUGUCCAUAUUACUACGAUUGCAGGGUAAUUAAAUUGAAGUUGUUUGACCUCGGUUACGCGACACGUCACUCAACUGAUCAACAAAUAAUCAAUGCGGGGCAACAGAUAUUUAUUCUUCACUGUGACUUAAUUUAGUUUCCUAUAAUCAAUGCAUAAUCUCAUGGUGCCAUCUUUCUUCUUAACAAACAACACCGGAGCACCCCAUGGAGACAUGCUAGGCCGAAUAAAACCCUUAUCUACCAACUCCUGCAGUUGAGUCUUUAAUUCCUUCAAUUCCGCUGGAGCCAUUCUAUAAGGUGCCUGUGAGAUAGGCAUAGUUCCGGGAAGUAAUUCAAAAGAGAAGUCUAUCUCCCUUUCAAGAGGCAAACCAGGUAACUCCUCAGGAAAAACAUCCGGAAACUCCCUUACUACAGGAAUAUCUUCUACUCCCAAAACUCCCAUACUUGUAUCCACAAUGUAAGCUAAAUAUGCCUAACAGCCUUUAUUUAACAAUUUCCUAGCAGCAACAGCAGAUAUCAAGCAACUCGAAAUAACAUCUCUUUCCCUUGAAAUGCAACCUCACAUUCAUCAGAACUUCGAAGCACCACCACUUUUCGAAAACAAUCCACCAUAGCUCUAUAAGCUUCCAAAACACUAUGCCAUUUCCUGCAUCAGGCAACACCUAUCAGGCGACACAUGUGAAAUUAAGUGUGGUUCGGGGUUUCCGGGCGACACAUUUUCUUUAUGUGUUGAUGGAAGUGCACUUAGACAAUACCAGUUUUCUUUGAAAAAAAUGUCUAUUUUCGGGGCGACACAUAUAUGUCGGUGAAGAAAGUGGUCAACUUUAGUCUCAAUUGUCUAAAUUUUACUCAUGUUAAUCCGAAGACAUUUAUGUGUCGGUUGAUAUUGAAUUUUGUUGAAUUGACAACUUGUGUGAAAAUUUUACUUCAUUAAGUUGAUACGACGACAUUUAUGUGUCGGCUGAUAUUGAAUUUUGUUGAAUUGACAACUUGUGUGAAAAUUUUACUCAAUUAUGUUGAUAAGACAACAUUUAUGUGUUGGCUAAUAUUUAAUUUUAUUGAAUUGACAACUUGUGUGAAAAUGAAUUAUGUUCAUAAGACAACAUUUAUCUGUUGACUGAUAUUGAAGUUUACUCAAUUAUGUUGAUAAGACAACAUUUAUGUGUUGGCUGAUAUUGAAUUUUAUCGAAUUGGCAACUUGUGUGAAAAUUUUACUCAAUUAUGUUGAUAAGACAACAUUUAUGUGUUCGCUGAUAUUGAAUUUUAUCGAAUUAGCAUCUUGUGUGAAGAUUUUACUCAAUUAUGUUGAUAAGACGACAUUUAUGUGUUGGCUGAUAUUGAAUUUUAUCGAAUUAACAACUUGUGUGAAAAAUUUACUUAAUUAUGUUGAUAAGACAACAUUUAUGUGUUGGCUGAUAAUGAAUUUUAUCGAAUUAACAACUUGUGUGAAAAAUUUACUUAAUUAUGUUGAUAAGACAAUAUUUAUGUGUUGGCUGAUAUUGAAUUUUAUUGAAUUGACAAUUUGUGAAAAUUUAAAAGUCAACACAUGUAUCAAAAUGGAAAUGCUCUUAUCUACAUCGGUCGAGACUUAUAUUUUCGAUUCGUCAACACUAAAACUCUCAUUCAAUAUUGUUGAAACUAAUCUAUGUGAAAUUUUGGACAAAUUUAUCAAGCGACUAUAUAGCUCCCCAUAGGAAAGCUUAUAGAAAUUUAAUCGUAAAUAAAGUUGACCUAUUUGUGAAGCAACUAUAUCUUGUAAAUAGAAUUUUGCAAAUCCAUCCGUAGGGUGCGUUACGUAUAGUGAAAUAUGGUUAUGGUAAAAAAAUCACAUAUUUUUGAUAACGUUUGUGUCCCGAUCGAGGCGGUCAACCCUUUUUACAAUUAUUAUCACCUAUGGGUAGCCCUAUCCCCGGAAAGUAAAAUUUCUGAAAUUUUUUUUUCUAUAUCGUUUUUUGCCUGCCUUGGGUCUCAUUGUGCUUCUGCAUGCUUUUGUUUCAUUGUGUUUCUGCGAGGUUGAGUACCUUCUUCUUCUGCCCUGUUUUCUUUCUCGCUAUCGAUCUCAGUGAUGGGUGUGUGUUUACUUUCGAGAGGAACAAUCUGGGGAUUCUUAGCUUUGAUGUGCGAAUUUGGAUUUGAAUCCUCCCUUACUCCUCACUAUCUGAUAUGCUUUCUCCAUUUGUUUUAGCUUUUGAGUUUAUUUGAUUUUGUUUUUUGGUUUUGGAACGAACAGGUCAUCGAUUCCUUCUCUGAGUUUACGCCUUCGCCCAGAGUUGGAAGACUUUCAUGGUUCAAAGCAAUUGGUGAUAAGCUGAUUUGGGAUUUAUGUAGAUCGGGUUUGCCUGUGGGUCGCGGUGGUCCGUUUAGUUGUUUCUGGGUUCAUUCUCUUAUGAAAAGGUGUGGGUGCAUGCUUUUUUUCCCCUGAUAUCGGUUUGCAUGUUGGUCGUUUUUUUGGGAUUGAAAAUUUUAGUGUCUUGCAGGGUUUUGUUUGUGUGGAUAGUAGCUGUGGUCAUUCGACGUUUCUCUCAUCCGAUCAGGUUUAUUUCUGUUAGAUUCUCUGAUCAAGCAGUUUUUUCUCUUCUUCCUUUUCUGGUUUUUGCUUCUUAAAUUUGUUUGGGUUGGAUGAAUACACAACCAGAGGAAAGGCUUUAGCCGAAGAAAAUAAAAAAACCAGGCCGACGAAUUAUUUUUUCGUCGGCUAAAGUCCACGUUAGCCGACGAAAUUUUCCUUCGUCGGCUAAUUUAAAUUUUUGUCGGCUAUACUAUACUUUAGCCGAUAAAAUUUUUUUUUCGUCGGCCAAAGUUUUCAUUCGUCGGCCAAAGUUUUUACUCAUCGACUAAAGUAUUUUAGUAAACGAAAACAAAUCUAGUCAGCUAUUAUCGAAAAAAGUCGUCGGCUAAAAGAAAAACAAUAAAAUGUUGUAUAACUUACUUAGUAGGUUUUAAACAAAUACACAACUUUGUGAACCAACUCUACAUAGAGGCAAAAUUAACAAAAAUCUCGUGAAAUAAGAUGUGUUCAGAAUGGUGAAAUAUGGCUAUGGUUCAAAAAUCACGUAAAUCAGGUAACGUCUCUGAUGUAGAACAGUCGAAACCCGGUAUGCUGCAGAUUUGGCUUUGCCAUGACAUAUGGGCCUUUUUGGCCAUCCGAGUCCGUUUUGGGCUUCAAAAUGCAGUUUUCUUAUUUCCGAUUAGAGUUGACCGUUUCGAUCGAGCCCUUAACGUUGUCGAAUCCAGUUGAAUUUUUUACCAUAGACAUCUUUCGUCAUAAUGAUCAUAUCUGACGGUCGAAUUUUGGUUUGUGAAUUUUAGUCAUCAGAAUCACGUCGUGUCUACUAAUGUUGUAUAACUUGUUUAGUAGGUUAUACAACAUAGGAACCAAAAUUAUCAAAAAUCUUAUGAAAUAAGAUGUGUUCAGAAUGAUGAAAUACAGCUAUGGUUCAAAAAUCACAUAAACUGGGCAAUGUCUCGGUGCCGAUAGUAGCGGUCAACCCUAUUUACCAUUAUUAUUCCCUAUGGGGAGCCCUAUCGACGGAAGGUAAAUGUCUCAAAAAUUUUAUAUGGGCAGUUGCGUCUCAUCUACGUGAGAGUUUUUUAUGUGGAAGGUUUGACUAAACUAUGUAAUAUAGAGGGAGAUAUGAGCGUUUUCAUGUGAUAAAUGACGUUGGAUUAAGGUUGACUGUUUCGAUCGAGCCCUUAACGUUGUUGGAUCCAGUUGAAUUUUUUACCAUAGACAACUUUUGUCAUAAUGAUCAUAUCUGACGGUCGAAUUUUGGUUUAUGUAUUUUAGUCAUCGGAAUCACAACGUGUCUACAAAUGUUGUAUAACUUGUUCAGUAGGUUAUACAACUUUGUGAACCAACUCUACAUAGGAAGCAAAAUUAUCAAAAAUCUAGUGAAUAAGAUAUGUUCAGAAUGGUGAAAUACGGCUAUGGUUCAAAAAUCACGUAAAUCGGGUAACGUCUCGGUGCCGAUAGUAGCGGUCAACCCUAUUUAGCGUUAUUAUUCCCUAUGGGGAGCCCUAUCGUCGGAAGGUAAAUGUCUCAAAAUUUUUAUGUAGGCGGUUGCGUCUCAUCUAUGUGAAAGUUUUUCGUGUGGAAGGUUUGACCAAACUACGUAAUAUAGAGGGAGAUAUGAGCGUUUUCGUGAAUUUAUAGACUUUAGACGACGAGAUAUUAAAAAAGUCGUCGGCUAAGGUCAAAAUUUUUUUUAUGGUAAAUCAAAUUUGGAGGAACAUUUUCAAAGGACUUUUGCUGACGAAAAUAUUCAAAAUCUCGUCGGCUAUUGUCAAAAAAUUUUCAAAAUUUUCAACCAAAAUUUUCAAAAGAGUUUAGCCGACGAAAAUAAAGAAUUUCGUCGGGUAAAGUUCUUUAUAUAGGAGUUUUACCGGAGGUGGAUGGUAAGAAGUCAGAAAAUCAGAAAAAGUUCCGGAUUUUCUUCUCGGCCUAGCUCCGCCGUCAAGCAACCAGAGACCGCCACAUUUGUCCCAAAAGCUUCGCCGUCGUCUCUACUUCAUUGCUGGACAGGUGGUGCAUCGAGUGGCGCCGCUGUGAGGGAUAAAUCGAGCUCCAAAACUCCGCUGGUUCGGAUUCGGUGUCGAUCGAAUUUCUUCUUCCUCAGGUCACCAUUUGGUGAGUUCUAUAUAUGGAUAAGUUGAGUUUGAUUAGUAAUACAUUCCCCUAGAAUUUAGUUGCUUGAUUCGAUGUGUGUUAGGAGAAUCGAAGAUUUGAAGUUUUUAGGGUUUAAAAUUGGGGAUUUUUAUAUUUUGAUUCAAUUGACCUGUUUAGGCUUAGAAUUAGGCUUUGACUUCUUCUAGAAAGUUGUUCGAAAUGUUGAGAGGAGGAUUUUGUCAAAUUUUGGUGGUGAUUGGAGGUGGCCGAAAGUUUCUGCAGUUUUUUUUUGAAAAAAACCAGCAACUUUAGCCGACGAUAUUUAAAUACUAUAUUCGUCGGCUAUAGUGUCAGGACCCACCUUGAAUUUCACCCUGAAACCCGAGGUAAAUCCUACGGGGUCCACUUUCAAGGAAAAUUUACCGAAAAUUCGGCAUAACAUUCCAACAACAAAGACAUUUAAUAAGCUACUACUGGACUUUCAGAGCAUAUCUAAUGAUGAAUGAAAACAAUGAAAACGAAUAAGCGGAAGCAGCCUCUGACUAUGCCUCGACUCCAUGUACGCUCGUUCUCAAAUAACUUAGCCUGCAAACUGGGCAUUUAUAAACCAAAGGGCCCAGGGGAAAGUAAUUUAAAAACGUUAGAGUGAGUGGACGAAAAUAAAUUCAAUAACUUAACAAUUAUAAAACUUAUAUACUUUCCCACUUUUCAACUUUUAAAACUUAACAGCAUGCAACUUAAACGUCUUUAAAACUUUAAAUCCAAAAUCACUUAAUAAAGGACAAACCAGCCCCGCUGGUUAGUUAAAACAGAAAUCUCAUCAGAGGAGAUAAACUAGCCCCGCUGGUUAAUAAAUAUAUUAUUGAGAAGAAUAAAAUAGGGGAAGAGUUAUCACCAUGAAAAAGGAGCCUCCUAGGCUCGGGUCGAUGCCUCCUAGGCUAUAAUAGCGUCCCACGCUAAGCGCUCAACUCACAUAUGAUGAGGACCACUAAAUAAGGCUAUAAUAGCGUCCCACGCUAAGUGCUCAACUCACAUAUGAUGAGGACCGUUAAUAAGGCUAGCUAACUAAUAAAUAUAAAUACCAAUCGGUUGUCUCCCAGGCUAUAACAGCGUCCCACGCUGAGCGCUCUACUCACAUAUGAAGAAGACCGCUAAUAAGGCUAUAAUAACGACUCACAUAUGAUGAGGACCGCCAAUAAGGUUAGCUAGCAAUAAUCAAUAUAAAAGCGACCCUAUAUUAUGGUGACUAAAAUCAUAUGAAGUCACUUAAAUCCAUUAAACUUCCCCAAUAUCAAAUAAAUGGUACGAUUCCCAACCGUAUUUGAAAAUCAUCAUAAGAAAUUAUACUAAACUCAAUGAUGUGUCUCACACGUCAAAAUAUUCUCGAAACCAUAUUAUAAGCGAGAUUUCAAUAUCAAAUAUAAAUCAUAAAUAACAAUAUCACCACUCGAAAAUACUCGCUAAAAUAUUCUCCAAAUCAAAAUCAUUAUGCCUCAAAUAAACAAUUAAAUUAUGAUGGAGAACUACCGAAAAUCCCAUUUUCGGUAAUCAUUUAUUAAUCCCAAAGUCACCACUAAAUCAAUCACAAUGAAAUCCGAAACUUAUAAAAUAACCAAACUCAAAUAUCAAAUUAAUAAUCCGAACUUAAAUCCAUGAAUCAUGACCAAACGUUAAUCAAUGCAUCACACUCAAAUAAUUUUCAAGAUCAUCUCAUGAGCCGAAAAUUAUAAUAUAAGCUCGGAAAAAUAAAAUGAUAAUUUAUAAAAUCUUGCAUGCAUAUUUAAUCAAACCAAAAUGUCCACUCACAACUUUAGGCAUAAGCCCGACGAUAACCGCAUCGCCACUCAAGCGAGGUUCCUUUCACAUCCUGGCACAACAACCAUACUUAGAACCAAACUUCAAUUCCAGAAAAUAAAUAUAUGAAUAAAAACAUCCAACUCUCUUCCGUUUAACCCACUACUCUUAAUAGGGUUAAACUCGCCGGAUUCGCACCAAACUCCACCACAACCUUAAUUCAUCAAUUCUAACAUUCUAUAAAAAAUACCAAGGAAAUCCAACGGCCGGAUUUUUUAUUCUAAUAACCGGCAAAAUCCUUAAUCUUUUAAAAAUCCCAAACCUUAUCAAAACUCCUCCAAAAAUUCCAAACUUCACAUCAUUAAACUCUCCUUAACAUAACACAUUUAAACCCUGAAAAGCCCCUUUACAGCGGCAGCGCCGCCGUCUGCUCUGCCUGCAACGGCGGCCGGCGGCCAACUCCGACGACCCCCGAUGGCUACCAAAUUUUAACAACAUCUUCCUCUCAACAUCCCAAACAACUUUAAUAACUAUCACUAAGUCUAAUUUCAAGCUUAAACAUGUCAAUCGAACAAAAACACAAUCAAGAACCCUAGAAGAUUCAAACCUUCGAUUCUCCUUACCUAGCUCGAGUUAGGAUGAAUCCUUUUAGGAUUUUGCUGCUGGGAGGGAGAGCUUCAAGUUGAGACCAACAGCUCCGGCUAUGGUGGCCGGAAAAGGGAUUUCCCGGCGAAAACCCCACCACGCACAGUCACGGCUUUCCAGCAUGAUUUCUCCUUCACGGCGGCGCGACACCGGCUGCCACCUACCUAGACUUGUAGAGGAUGCUCCAAGCUUCAAAUCGAUACCAAGCACGCCACCUAGCUCGGCCGGACGGCGGCGGAUGGAGGUGAUGAAGUUGCCGGUCGGAGGAGAGGCGCGGGAGAGAGAAGAGAGAGUGAGGGGGUGAAACUGAUUUCUUACCUUACCCAUCCGGUAAGUUUCCAUUUUUAUACCCCCAACCAAAAUAGUAACUUUUGUUUUUAGACCAUAACUUAUUCAUACGAACUCCUAUUUAAGCGUGCCACGCGUCUACGAACUCCACUUAACGUUCUCUACGACUUUCAUGAAGAAAGUUUUUCCAAAUUCCAAAUGGAAGAAAAAGUUAACUUUAGGGUCCUUAAGUAGUAAACGGUUACUCAACACGGCAAAAGACCAAAAUAACACCAAAGUAAAUAACCGUAAAAUAACUUAAGAACCGGGGUGUGACAUAUAGUAUUUUUUAAUUUUUUUAUAAGGUUUAGCUGACGAAACAGACUAUAUUUCGUCGGCUAUAGUUAUUUUUUUAAUUUUUUAUUACACAAUUUAGCCGACGAAUAUUUUAUUGUUUCGUCGGCUAAAGUCUGGGAAAAAAACCGACUACAUGUUUUUCAUCAGCUAAACUGUGGGACUAUAGCCAACGACGUCUUCUUUUUUCGUCGGCUAAAGUCAUCGCCGACGACCUUUUCCCGACGAAAUCUUAGCCGACGAAUUAAGCUAAUAGGCAGACGAAACUUUUUCGUCUGCUAAAGUGCUUGUCCUGGUAGUGAUAGAAUGGGUAAUUAUUUAUUGUUGAGUCAAUUGGUUUGACAUUACUGCCGGUAGAGGCAUGUGAUUUUUAGUUUUCGUCGUUAGAAGUGGAUAUCAAUUAUAUCAGCAAAUUCAACUUCCUUUCACUCCGACCAAUUUUUAUCUUAUGAGUUUUCCUGCAGAAUCAGAGAUAAACUCAAAACUGGAAGAAAAGGAAAGAAUGAAGAAAGAGAAGUUUCAGCCUUCGACUAAUACAGAUGGUACUGGAGCAAUAUGCAUCCAUCUCCAUAUCUGUUCCUUUCCAUAGAUGUUAAUUAUUUGGUUUAGAUCUAAAGUUGUUUUCUUUAAUUAAAACUUGAAAUUUUAAUUACAAUAAACUAGCAAUGGUGAUGAUGUUAGAGAUAUGCCAAUUAAAGGGUGGUACUGAUUCUACCCAUGGUAUGAGCUGUUAGUGUUUAUUUGUAACAGACAAACUAAUUGAAGCUGGGUGUUCAAUUCGGUUUUUCUGUGUGUGGGUAGUUAAUUGAGAUUAUUAACUUAUUUCAAUAGUCUACUCCAUUCUAUUGUGCAGAGAGAAAAGAAGAGAUUUUGAUGGUGGACUGCAAGGAAAAAAGAAAAAGAAAAAGAGAGAGAUCUAGGUUACUGAUUGGCUUUGAGAUUGUUUUGGAAAGGUGAUUCAGAAGAGGUAUCUCUCUUAUUCGUUUUUUUAAGUACUAUAAAAUGGAGAUUGAGUUCAUUUGUUUGGUAUCAUUUAGGCGUCUGAUAAUUGUUUUAUUUAAGGUUUAGAGUUACCGCAACUCUUCCAUAUUGUAUAGUCUUUAAGUCUUUGCAUUUCAAUGGUUAUCGAUGGGAAUUUGAGUUUUGUAGUUUAGUUUAUUGGACUAUGUUCAGAAAGUUGUGUGUCUAAACCAGGAAAUGAUCUUGCUAUAUCAUGUGAAUCAUCAUGUCCUCAUAUCGUCCAUGACUCCAUGUAAUCUGGGUAUAGUUCAAAUUAGCAUUGAACAAAAUCAGUUCAGUUAAGUAAAAAAAAUGUGAUAUCAGGAUCUUUGAUUUAGCAACUGUCAUAAGUUUCAGAAUCAUUUGAAAAUUUCAUUUUAAGUUAGAUGAGACAAAAUUUGAAUCCACAUGAUACAAGGGUUUAUUUGAAGAGAAAGAAUUGAAUAGUUAUAAUUUUAAUAUAGACAGAGCUCAUGGGGAGGUUUAGAAAAUCCUGUAGAAAAUGUUGCAGUAUCUUUAAUUCAAAUCUUGCACCUGCUCCUAUUUUCAAAUUUACUACCAAGUACUAUUUGGCAAGCCACCGGAGCAUAUUGGGUUCCCAAAAUGUCACCAAUAUGUAAAAGUGACAAGAAAAAGUUUUGGUAUCAGGUGAAAAAUUACAAAAUGUCACCAAUAAAUUAAGGCCAUCGUCUGUGACCUAUCUUACAACAAUGCAUCUUUAUGCUCUUCUUCCACAAUGAUCUGGGAAAUUUGAUUGUUCUGAAGAUCAAUAAGCCCCAGUUGUAAACUGAUGCUAUCUCAAAUUGUUGGUAUGUGACCUUUUGAUGCCUUCUAUGUUUUUACAUGUAGAUGAGAAGGUUGUAGAUUGUUCCAAAAUGGUCAGCACAAUGUAAUAACCUUACGCUAUGAUUGAAUGCGAUGUAUAGGAAACAAAGAGGUAGAAGCAGCCAAUGGGGAUUGACAAGACCCACCCCGAAUUUCACCCUGAAACCCAGAGUAAGUCGUGCGGGGAUUACCUCCAAAGAAAAUUUACCGAAAAAUCGGCAUAACCUCCCUUGAAAAUGGACAACCCUUCCAAAUAAUACCUGCAAACACUUCUGAAAAUUUAAAUCCAACCUUAAACUCCUGGAGCCUCCGUGCUCCCCAAAUCACAACACCACCCAAAUUAUUUACUAAUCUAAACAAAUCUCAUAUCCAACCAUUUAUAGGUUCAGAGCAACUCUAACAGGAAGAAAGGAAACAUAAUAAAUUAACAAGCGGAAGCUAUAUGAUGACUAUGCCUCAUCUCCAUGUACGCCCGACCUUGACUAAGCUAACCUGCAAGCUGGGCAUUUUUAAAACGAAGGGCCCAGGGGAAAACAUUUGAAACACGUUAGAGUGAGUGGACAAAAAUAAAUUAACAAAUAAAAUAUUUAUGUUUCCCCAAAUCAAUUUCCAAGGAAAAUCGAAUGCAUGCUGCAAGCGAUAAAACUUUUUAUCUCAUAAAUAUCGAGCCUCUCAAGCUCUAUAAAAUAUGUAUGUAUUACACACGUCCAUACUCCCUAUAUAAAUUCAUGGGUCUAUAUAGGGCUACUACGCUCGCGUCUAACGCUCACGUCACGCCUUAAUGCGGUGCUACACUACGCCAUUAAGGUGGACAGACGGGUGCAUAAAUAUGUGCCCAUACCCCCUAUAUGAAUUAAAUACUCAUAUAGGGCUACUACGCUCGCGUCCAACGCUCACGUCACACCAUAAUGCGGCUAUAUGCUAUGCCAUUAAGGUGGACAGACACAUAGGGCUAGCUAGCAUUUUUAUACAUACUCUCCUCAUAAAUACAUAUUUAUAUCACCGAAAAUCCCAUUUUCGGUAACUCUCCAAGAGAAAUAAAUCGUCAAAAUCAAAAUGACGUCAAAAUGCUCCAACAAUUUAAAUGUUCAACCAAAACCAUAGCAUGCAUAUUAUUCAAAACCAAAAGUCCACUCACAAAUCUAGGCAUAAGCCCGACGAAAUCCAAAUCGCCACUCCAGAGAGGUUUCCUCGAACCCUGGCACAAAUAUAAAAUUAAUUUCCCAACUAAAAAUCCAAUAUUUAAACAAAAUAGGCAAAAUUAACCGAGAGCCAUACUCACGCUCAUCAUUGCCUAACUUCGAUACGGUCCACACCUCAACACUAAAACCAGCAACCUUAGCUACACCCUUCCACAGAUUAUACGACUUUAAUCCAAGAGCCGGAUUCUAUCCUAUUAAUCCGCCAAAAUUACCAAACUUCGGAAAUUCACAAACCUAACCAAAACUCAUCCAAAAUUCCAUAAUUUACAUNNNNNNNNNNNNNNNNNNNNAAAAUUCCAUAAUUUACAUCAAUAUACUCCCCUUAAUAUUCCACAUUUAAAACUAUACAAACUCCCAAACAGCGGCGGCGGCGCCACCAGUUCCGCCGGCAGCGGCGGCCGGAGGCCGAUUCCGGCGACCUCCAAUGCUCACCAAAUUUAAACAGCAGCUUCCUCUCAACCUACUCUACAACUUUCUUAACUGGCACAACACCCAAUUUCAAGCCUAACUAUGCCAAUCGAACGAAAACAACACAAAAAGCCCUAGAGCUUCCACUCACCGGUUCUCCUUACCUAGACCAAGAGAGGACGUGCUCUUUGGAGGGGUUGCUGCACGGGAGGAGAGCUUUCUUUUGAGCCAAGAAUGGCCGGCUUUGGUGGCCGGAGGAGGGAGUUCCGGCGACCGGAAGUUCUGGGCAGUCAAACCUUUCGGGUGGCACCGCUCCCUCACGAUGGCGCUAGGGCUCCUCUCACCGGUCCAGGGAGGUUGUUGGGUUAGAAGUCGACCGAACGGGACCGGUGCGGCAGCGGUUGGUGGCCGGACGGCGGCGGACGAGCGGCCGGAAGCUUCGGCUGCGGGAAAACUCGGGGAUGAGGCCGGGAGGGAGAGAAGAAGAGAGAGGGAAAAGAAAUGGGUGUUUGGGCCUCACACCCACCCGGUCCAACACCAUAGAACAACCCACUCCAAAAUAAAACACCCCGAAAAAAUAAUACCCGAAAAAAAAUUACCUUUUACUAGCUAAAAUUUACCAUUUUUACCGUCGUCAUUUUUUCCUCCUACAAAUAAUCCUCCGCACAUAACCGUCCCCGAAACCCCUCUAGGGACCAAUUAAAACUAUAACCUCAAUGACGGAGACGGUAAAAUUCUUAUUAUAACCAAGCUAGUAAAUAAGGUAAAAAUUUACGGGUCAGGAUGUGACAAUUCUCCCCUCCUUAUAAAAAUUUCGCCCUCAAAAUUUACAUACCUGACAUUCGAAGAGAUAGGGAUACUGCUACCUCAUUUGCUCCUCUAAUUCCCAAGUAGCUUCCUCUACUUGAUGACUCCUCCACAGAACUUUAACAAGAGGAAAAAGAUUUGCUUCGAAGCACUAGCUCCUUUUGGUCAAGAAUCUGAAUCGGCUCCUCAUCAUAGGCCAAAACUUUUUCCAAUUAAUCGAUUGCUCUCGCAACACAUGAGAGAGAUCGGAAAUAAACUUGCGAAGCAUGGAUACAUGAAACCCAUUAUGUAUCUUGGAUAACUCCGGAGGCAAAACUAACCGAUACGCAAGAGAGCCAACUUGAUCUAAAAACUCAUAAGGACCAAUAAAUCUCAGACCAAGCUUUUCACACUACCAAAACGUACCACCCCUUUCCAAGGACACAAUUUCGAAAACACCCAAACACUCACUUGAAACUCAUGGUCCUUCCUGCGGACAUCUUUAUAACUCUUUUGGCUACUAAGAGCUGCUUUGAGUCUAUCUUUGAUUCCUUUAACCCUUUCAUUUCUCAAAGACUCUAAAUCCUUCGUUGAACUACCACUAACGUUUGCACGUAAGUGAGUUCAGUGAUACCUGCUCCAGAGUACGAGUACCCGUAGGUAUGCACACUCUUUCCUGAGCAAUGGAAAAAGUUAACCCAAAUAAAGCGCAUACAUUUGCUAUCACGAUCGGGCUCAAAUCUCCAAACAUCACGUAACAACCUCAUCAUUACGCUGCUCACAACUCGACGAUGAAGCCCAAUUGCUAGGAAACUAAAGUUCACGCAUUCCCACAUGCUCAUCAUAAGGGUCAAAAUUAAGACCCGCUAAUCAAACAGAUUUAAGGAUGCACACACUGCAGAACUGCAAGAAUCACUACCAAUACCGAGGCACUUUACGGAAUCAAAACUCACACAAUACCGCAAGACAACCCUCUUUUGCUUAAGCGAUUAGUCCAACAAGAGUUAAAACUCAAUUGUCGGAAUGAAAUUAUGAAGUGAUCAAUAACUACGUCACUUAUGUCUCUUCACCAAAACUAUUACAUUACCAUUUUGAGCACUAUGAGAAUUCAACUCUCUCCUAAUUCUGCUAUCUCCACUAUUCUCUUUACCACAAACCAGAAGAUAAUUUGAAACAUGACUAUCAUGUGGAAACUGGAUAUUCCUCCUUGCUCGCCAUAAGCAAAAACGAACUAAUUAUGCCCACGAAAAAAAUUGGCACAGCCAAUUCAUGAUGCCCAACUUGACGUUGAAAUCCACAUAAAUAGAGCACCUUCCUUAAGCAUUGACAAAAUUUACAUCUCCAGCUAUGCUACUUAUUCGGGUACAACCGCGACCCCAUAAUCAAUAAUUAAAAGCACACGGCUCACUCUAGCCGUUCUAGAAGAAUGAUUCUAAAUGCCAAGCCUUUGGACCCGACAAACACAUUUUUAUUUUUUUACCUCAAAUUACAAUUAAUCUGAUUAUAGAAGACGAUCUGAAAAUCAGAUACGCUCAAGUCUCCGACACCUCCCAGGGCCACGGCUUCCCACCAAAAAGAUUUUCUGAUAACCGAGCUUGCAGUACCAUGCAACUAUCAAAUGCCAAGAUAAAUUUUUAUACAAGACCCAUUACUAUACCUUGUGGUUCACCAACCAACGAAAACCAUGAAUUCAAGCAAGAAUCAAAACUCAUGGCUUAACUCAGCUCAAGUUCCAGAAGAAAUGACUUAAAGCACAUGAAAGGCAAGUCCUCUAACUUCGAGCUCAAAAGCUCCACAAAUCUCCAAUAUCCGUCAGAACCCGCUUCGAAAUUGCACUAGAAACCUCCACUAAUCAUGCUGACACCAACGGAUGAACGCACAACCAAAAAAACGAAGACCUCUCUAAUCAAACUUGGAUCAAUGAGUGGUCCCACCACAAUAUGAUCCUGAGAAGAGACGCUAAUCAACCUAUCAAUAAAUUUACUACUUUCAAUAUUAAAACUCUUAAUAAACCUUGACUCUAGACGCUUCUUGAGUCAACAUGGGAAAACCUUCCCCCAUAACGCUACAUCAUAAAAAAUACCUACAACGACACAAACCAUCUUUUCAACAUCACCACACGACUAGCAGACUACCACAUAGGACUUACGACUCCAAGAUUCAUUGCUUAAUUGAACUCCAGCUCAUUUGGGAUCACGACUGGAUUUAUUCCGGAUCCAUGACUACGACACAACUACCAAUUUAUCAUUUACCUCGAAACUUCGACAUAAUAACCAGAAUCUCUACCCUUCAAAUCGAAGCGUUGAAUUCGCAUUCCAUAAUUCAAGCUCUGAGGAUACUACCCAAAAACUACAGUAGGAAUAAUUUAAAUAUUCCCACACACACCAUAACCAAAACUUUACUCCAUCUCACCUAAUUAGAAAUAAGAUGAGAAUAGAUCCUCCCAUUGUUAUGUCGUAGUUAGUCACCCAUUGCGAACGAAAUGAUGUCAACAACCAACUUCGAUCACAAAUUUGAGACUUACAUCAACCACCCGGAAUGACACUGCUAAAAAAAAUACUUUGGACACCCACGCACUUUUGCUCUAUGAUCCAAUGGGUUUUAUUCCACUGCUACCACUUCCACCAACUCCACACAACUGCUAUAGAAUACCUAUGACAAUACGUAAUAAAUUCACCAGGUGUUGUCAUAAAACUGGAGUGACCACAACCAUCCCGCUCUCACUCCACCAUUACUUUUCAAUUCCAUUUACAUUAUCAUCUUUCCAAACACUCAACAAAUCUGGAAACCAAACUUCAACACCUGGAACUCCGAAAGAAUCCAUACUGGCCCCAUGAUUAAAAUAAUAUAACUGACAUCUCACUCUACGAUUCCAAACUUGCUUGAAACUCAAAACAUUUAGUGCCAUCAAUAAAAUUUAAAAUUCCCCGACUGUGGCACAACAAGAAGUUGUCACAACGCACUGACGAAUGACUUUUGUAAAACCAACAAUCCAAGUCAUUCUACUUAGUGCUUUAACAAACUUCAACUAACCCACAAUAGAGACCAAAAUCAUCAAAAAUCUUGUUAUUCAUCGACUACUAUUAUCCGUCAUUUUCAAAAAUAUACUUCCAUAAAUAAAGUUGUAGGAACCAGGAUAUGUGCUGACAUAACCAGCAUUAUCCCAAAUUGUUCCCACUGCUUUCUGUUGCGGAUAAAAAUAGUCGGUAAAUUGGCUUUAACUCAUGACUUAUCUAAAUUGACAUUUAACUUUUUAUGGAGCAAUGCCUUGCAACCCAAACACUAGCCACAAAUCUCACAAGACUAAUUCGCUCAAGCUUAGGUCCGCAAUAACUCAUAUAGGUACCCCAUUGAAUUACGCUUGGAUACCUCACCUCAUCAUUUCAACUAACUUUUACAUCAAUAGAAAACACCACUAUUUCAAACUUUCUUUCCAACUCGACUCUCUCAAAAGUCACAUAACUCAAUACCAAAAUAUACCAUCAAUCAAUUUUUGACUUCAAUCUUGCCCACUAAAAAUGGACAACUCCAAGGCAUUAAUCAUCAACAUUUCACCCAACAGAUUUGCACAAGAUGCUCACCUUAGCAUCUUAAUUUGAAAUCUUAAUCUUAACCCAAUCAAUCAUUGGAUACCUGAAAAGAAUGCUAACAAGCUUUUUCGUUCCCCACUCGCAAACUAACUCCAACCAUUAAUAUCAAAGAUAUUAAAUUAAUGAACCUUGGAAUAGGUGCAAACUAUACACCUUUUCAAAACUCGAAGGAUGAACACUCAAGAGGUCGAUGUACGGAGGCAUAGUCUUAGAGAUGUAGACAUUUAUGGCACACUACUGCCCAUAAAUAAAAGAAGAACAACUACAUCACAAACCUAAUCAACACAUAGUGUCUAAAGCAUAUAAUGCUAAUAGAUCCGCCGCGGUCGGACCGUCACUCUAUAGACACUAAGCAUGACCAAGAGUAUGAGGUAGUACUAAAAAGAGAAAAGAAAUGAAUAACCUAGUGCUCCGAUACCAACUGACAAGACCCACUCCGAAUUUCACCCUGAAACCCAGAGUAAGACGUGCGGGGACCACCUCCAAGAAAAAUUUACCGAAAAAUCGGCAUAACCUCCCUUGAAAAUGGACAACCCUUCCUAAUAAUACUUGCAAACACUUCUGAAAAUUUCAAUCCAACCUUAAACUCCUGCAGCCUCCGUGCUCCCCAAAUCACAACACCACCCAAAUUAUUUACUAAUCUAAACAAAUCUCAUAUCUAACCAUUUAUAGGUUCAGAGCAACUCUAACAGGAAGAAAGGAAACAUAAUAAAUUAACAAGCGGAAGCUAUAUGAUGACUAUGCCUCAUCUCCAUGUACGCCCGACCUUGACUAAGCUAACCUGCAAGCUGGGCAUUUUUAAAACGAAGGGCCCAGCGGAAAACAUUUGAAACACGUUAGAGUGAGUGGACAAAAAUAAAUUAACAAAUAAAAUAUUUAUGUUUCCGCAAAUCAAUUUCCAAGGAAAAUCGAAUGCAUGCUGCAAGCGAUAAAACUUUUAUCUCAUAAAUAUCGAGCCUCUCAGGCUCUAUAAAAUAUGUAUGUAUUACACACGUCCAUACUCCCUAUAUAAAUUCAUGGGUCAAUAUAGGGCUACUACACUCGCGUCCAACGCUCAAGUCACGCCUUAAUGCGGUGCUACACUACGCCAUUAAGGUGGACAGACGGGUGUAUAAAUAUGUGCUCAUACCCCCUAUAUGAAUUAAACACUCAUAUAGGGCUACUACGCUCGCGUCCAACGCUCACGUCACACCAUAAUGCGGCUAUAUGCUAUGCCAUUAAGGUGGACAGACACAUAGGGCUAGCUAGCAUUUUUAUACAUACUCUCCUCAUAAAUACAUAUUUAUAUCACCG
rnacentral:lncRNA from 1 species